UGGCUGUUCAGCUUAAGCAAAUUAGUGUGUGUGAAGAAAAGAAUCGGUAGUAAGAAAGCAGGCAAAUGACUGUGGAGAAGGCACACACAGAAGGCUCAUGUCAUUUUUAUUAUCUUCAUCUCAUCUGAUCAAUCCAAUACACAGAGCUGUCAAAACUGGCAACACACAAAAAGGAUGUUUGAUUGGU